rnacentral:rRNA from 1 species
GAUGAACGCUGGCGGCGUGCUUAACACAUGCAAGUCGAACGGUAACUACUAUAUUGAUACUUCGUUCGUUUUAAUUUAAUUCUAGGGGCGGACUGGCGGGUAACGCGUGGGUAACCUGCCUUAUACUGGUGGAUAACAGACAGAAUUGGCCGCUAAUACGGCAUAAGCGCACAGAGCUGCAUGGCUCGGCGUGAAAAAAUCUGGUGGGAUAGGAUGGAGCCGCGUUGGUUUAGUUUGUUGGUGGGGUAACGGCCCACCAAGGCUACGAUCCAUAGCCGGCCUGGGAGGGUCAACGGACACGUUGGGGCUGAGACACAGCCGAGAAUACUACGGGAGGGAGGCAAGGGGAAUGUUGCACAGUGGGGGGUACGAUGAUGGCGCGACGCCGCGUGAAGAAAGAAGUAUCUCGGGAAGUAAGCUUCUAUCAGCAGGGAACAUAGUGACGGUACCUGAAUAAGAAGCCCCGGCUAACUACGUG